rnacentral:rRNA from 1 species
AUUGAACGCUGGCGGCAGGCUUAACACAUGCAAGUCGAGCGGAUGAAGGGAGCUUGCUCCUGGAUUCAGCGGCGGACGGGUGAGUAAUUCCUAGGAAUCUGCCUGGUAGUGGGGGAUAACGUCCGGAAACGGGCGCUAAUACCGCAUACGUCCUGAUGGAGAAAGUGGGUGAUCUUCGGACCUCACGCUAUCAUAUGUGCCUAGGUCGGAUUAGCUAGUUGGUGGGGUAAAGGCCUACCAAGGCUCCGAUCCGUAACUGGUAUGAGAGGAUGAUCAGUCACACUGGAACUGAGAAGCGGUACAGAAUCAUACGGGAGGCAGCAGUGGGGAAUAUUGGAAAAAGGGAGAAAGACUGAAAAAGCCAUGCCGCGUGUGUGAAGAAGGUCAUCGGAUUGUAAAGCACUUUAAGUUGGGAGGAAGGGAAGUAAGUUAAUACCUGGCUGUUUUGACGUUACCAACAGAAUAAGAACCGGCUAACUUCGU